UACGUAGGUGGCAAGCGUAGUCCGGAAUUAUUGGGCGUAAAGCGCGCGCAGGCGGUCCCUUAAGUCUGAUGUGAAAGCCCACGGCUCAACCGUGGAGGGUCAUUGGAAACUGGGGGACUUGAGUGCAGAAGAGGAAAGUGGAAUUCCAUGUGUAGCGGUGAAAUGCGUAGAGAUGUGGAGGAACACCAGUGGCGAAGGCGACUUUCUGGUCUGUAACUGACGCUGAGGCGCGAAAGCGUGGGGAGCAAACAGG
rnacentral:rRNA from 1 species